AGUUAAGAAUUUUAAAUAACAACAGUAUACUGUUUGUCGUUUGACGAGCACUUGAAAUUUUGGAAACUAAAAACUAUGGAAUUUUUGUGGAAGAGUAUUUAAUAUUGUUUUUCUUCAAGAACUCUUCAAGUGUUGAUAUGAACAGUGUUACCUAUGUUUAUUGAUAAUAUGAACUUGUAGUAUAAAAGAACAAGUGGAGAUAAUAAUAUCAAUGUUUACAGAUGUUAGCGAACGAACACAGGAUACUGACAAAGAGUGCAUUCAAACCUUUUGAGUGCCCAUACCUUGCUAUGAUCCACAAUCUAUUUCAUUGGGAAGUUGAGCCUAUAUUAUAAAUCAAUUUUGCUAGGACGAAAUUAUGAACACACGUGAAAUAUUUCUGGGACAAACAGGAACCAGUGAAGAAUUAAAAACCAUAAGCCAUAAGCCAUAGAAAGACUGGCAACACAAUUGAAUUGGAAUGCUCUUAUAACAUAGUACAGAACUACUGGCUACUGGGCUGGUGAUACCCUCGGACAAAGCACAUCGACUAUAGGAACAAUAAACCAGAUUGUAAGAAUUGUUCCUCUGUGCCAAUAGCAGAUAUAAAGAUAUUGCUAAAAUAUUGCAUCCUAAUGAUCUGUAUAACUUAAGUCAACUAUUGACGAUGGUUUAUUGCUGUCCGACUUAGUGCAUCCUUAAUGAACUUUUAGCAUUCAAUAAUGCACUAAUGAAGUAUUUUUCAAAUAAUGAAUUAGAACUAUUUGUGUAUACAACUCAGUGGUAAGAGUAAUUAUCAUAAAUUGAAAAUAAAUGUCCAUACAAAAAAUUGAAAAUGUAAUUUAUAUUUCAUAAUUAAAUAGACCUACAGUUUUUGUUUGUAUUAUAUAUUAGUACAACAUAAUCGAGAAAUUGAUAGAUAUAUAUACAUACCAAUCGAUUACUAAAAAAUGAAUAUAGUUUCAAAGCAUU